ensembl:lncRNA
GUAACGUAGCGGCGCCCCGGUCACGUGACAUGCGUCAGGUCAGAGGUCAGAAAUGGCUGGAAACGAAAAAAGAAACAUCAAGGAAGACUGAAGCGACUGUGGAGAGAGAGAGAAGGCCAGCGGCUGGUUGCCAUGACUACAGCUUUAAGCGUUACCAAACAACUGGAUCCAGCUGCUAGCUUAAGUAGCAGCGGCGCUAACCGCUUUAACUGCUUUAAAUGAAGGAGUGAGGUCCUCCAAACACAUGAUGUUUCCUCUUGGAUCACGAAGCCUUCAUGUCUUUCACGGAGGGACGCCUGAAGGACGUCCCCGAGCGGAGACACAAGCUGUCGACUCGGCCUCCUGCGUGAACAAGUGGAUCUCCAGCAUGAGGGAGAUGGAGUUCUACCUGCAGCUUGAGUUUGUGUCCCAGCAGCUGCAGUUGUCCCAUCGCCCCGAGAGGAAGACCGCCGACGUCCAGCUGCACGUCGACACUUUGCAACGAGAGCACAAGAGAUUCGUGGCCAAACUACGAGCUGUGGACCCCCGGCUGCAGACGCGAGGCGCGGACCCCUCGAGCGUCCUGCAGGAGGAGGGACGGGGGGCGGGGAGCUUGGAGCUCUCAUCCCCUUAUUGGAUGUAGUCGUGAUGCUCAGUGGUAGAAACCGUAUGUUCCUACAGUCCAGGAGCCAAACACAACAAGCCCUGUUGAUGAAACUCUUUCUGCCUUUGCAGCACAGAGAAGAAAUCACUUCCUGCCAGACGACUGUGGUCCUCAAGUCUUCUCCACCCGCUGGUUUAUUCCUGUUUGUGCAUUAAAUACACAGCGUGUCUUUUUGUCUCGUGUUAUCUCUGAAUGCUACAUAUGAACCGUUGUCCCCGCUGUGCUUCACAGCCGCCCCCCCCAGCUGAAGCGCCUCCACAUGACGGUGUCUCGGCCGGAUGUGGGGCAGGAAGCCUCAAACCUUCAGCCCCAGAGAACCAAGUCCUCGGAGGCGGUCUGUGCGGACCAGGACCAGCCGCGGCUCUUUGGCCGCACCAAGCGGGCCUUCAGAGGGCGCGGCGGCGCUGAGACGCAGAGCCUGGCCUCGGGGCUGCGGCGCCACCUCCCAAACCUCAGCGACGCUCCGGGGAGGAAGACCUCUCCCCCGCAGGGCGGAGACGCAGCGCCGGGACCCACCACCCGAGGCCCAGAGGCCGCCUGCGGAGCGGCAGAAAGGAACCCUGGGAAGUGGUCUCGCGUCUCGGGACUGACAGCUGAUUUCAUUCAUGCUCUGUACUCAUCUGAACGAUGUCACAUGAACUGUUGUUCUCAAUAUCUAAUCUCUCUGUGGUUAAACACUGGAUUACUGAAUAUCAAAGCCCCCCAUCAGAAGACCUGCGUAAAGGAAGGAGGCUCUGAGGAGACUCGCGGAUUCAGUCCUCUAACUCCUUCUCCUCCUUCAACCUGGUUAGACCCCACAACCCCACCCAUGCUAACGGGGGUCGAGCUUCAGGCGGGUUUCCCUUCGUCUCUGCAGAGGAAGUGAACCGUCUUUGCAGAAGCGGCUUGGUGACGAUUGACAGGAGAAGGGAGGGACAUCGCUGCGGAGACAUGCUGAUUAUUUCAGGUUCCACUGUUGAGGUCAAACAGUCUCUCACGAGGGAGACGAACAGAAGCUGAUGGAAACCGACCACAUUGCUCUGUACCCGACAAAGCAAACCGUAGAGUGGCACAACAACCACAACAACCCCCCCUGCUGAGCGUGUGAGGGGACUCGGCCUUCCUGGAAGCUCAGCCGUGAGCUGCUGCCUGCGGUCCCCCCCCCCCACUCAAGUGUUGCUGGCAGCUCUUCAUCCGACGCCGUCUUCUCCGUCCUGCCCUUCAAUGAGGCAGCAGCAUCUCCCCCCCGAGGAAACCGCUGCCUCACUGAUGAUGACGACGAUUCAAUGAUAAUGAUCAUGAAGCAGCACACCUGGGCUUCGGGGGGGGGGGGGGGGCCCCGGGUUUUGUUAAUAUUUCUCUACUUGGGAAGGGUGAAAAUGUCUCUUUUGUGACGAUGACAUGUCUGC